rnacentral:rRNA from 1 species
AGUGAACGCUGGCGGCAGGCCUAACACAUGCAAGUCGAACGGCAGCACGGCAGUAGCAAUACUGUGGGUGGCGAGUGGCGGACGGGUGAGGAAUACAUCGGGAUCUACCCUGUUGUGGGGGAUAACGUAGGGAAACUUACGCUAAUACCGCAUAAGAACUGAGGUUGAAAGCGGCGGACCGCAAGGCGUCGCGCGAUUGGAUGAACCGAUGUCCGAUUAGCUAGUUGGCGGGUAAAGGCCCACCAAGGCGACGAUCGGUAGCUGGUCUGAGAGGACGACCAGCCACACUGGAACUGAGACACGGUCCAGACUCCUACGGGAGGCAGCAGUGGGAAUAUUGGACAAUGGGCGCAAGCCUGAUCCAGCCAUGCCGCGUGGGUGAAG